rnacentral:lncRNA from 1 species
AUCUAGGGCCUAGGAUGGAGUUCAACAUGCAGGAAGCCCUGGGUUUGAUCCACCAAACUACAUAAAUUGGAUAUGGUGACACAUAUCUGUGAUCCCAGAUCUUCAGGUGUGUAGGCAGGAUGAUCAGAAGUUCAAGGUCAAUCUUAGAUACAUAGGGAGUUUAAGGGUAGCUACAUGAGACUCUGUGCCAAAAACAAAACUCCAAGGUGCUACAUCACCAGAGUAGGCUGUGGACGAUGAGCUGCUGCUUCGGGAAUAACCAACAAGCAAGAAGCUGCCUGCUGUGUCGGGAAACCCGGAUACCUGCGAGCUCCAGAACCUCACCAGCUCUGCCAGGGGCUGUGGCCACAGAAAUGAAGGAGUCACUUCCUGUUCCAUGCCCAUGUAACUCCAGUAAAGUCUCAGCUGCACUUUCAAGACACUGUCAAGGAGCCAGAGUGAGAGGUGAACCCCUUCAUGUUUGUGCAAGACGCUCAUCACCAACGUUCUAUAAGAGAAGCCAGCCCUCAACCUGAACUGCCUCAGCGGAAUACCUCUUAGACUUCUGAGACAAAGUAUCAUAGGCCAGGCCUUUCUUGAUCUUCCAACUCUUUCUCUUACCCCUCUGCUGUCUGAGUGCUGGGGCAGUGGGCAUAUAUCACCAUGCCCAGCUACAAACUUAGAAUUAAAAAAAACCAAACUUGUUAGUACCCGUUGAGACUAAAGUCUAAAGUGAAUU